UACGUAGGGUGCAAGCGUUAUCCGGAAUUAUUGGGCGUAAAGAGCUCGUAGGCGGUUUGUCGCGUCUGCUGUGAAAACCGGAGGCUCAACCUCCGGCCUGCAGUGGAUACUGGCUCGCUAGAGUGCGGUAGAGGAGAGUGGAAUUCCCGGUGUAGCAGUGAAAUGCGUAGAGAUCGGGAGGAACAUCAGUUGCGAAGGCGGCUCUCUGGACCAGCACUGACACUGAGGCACGAAAGCGUGGGGAGCAAACAGG
rnacentral:rRNA from 1 species